rnacentral:rRNA from 1 species
UACGGAGGAGGCAAGCGUUAUCCGGCAUUAUUGGGCGUAAAGCGUCCGUCGGUGGUUGGCCAAGUCUGCUGUCAAAGGGUGGGGCUUAACCUCAUAAAGGCAGUGGAAACUGGCGAGCUAGAGUGCGGUAGGGGUAGGGGGAAUUCCCAGUGUAGCGGUGAAAUGCGUAGAGAUUGGGAAGAACAUCGGUGGCGAAAGCGACCUGCUGGGCCUGCACUGACACUGAGGGACGAAAGCUAGGGGAGCGAACGGG